rnacentral:rRNA from 1 species
GACGAACGCUGGCGGCGUGCUUAACACAUGCAAGUCGAACGGAAAGGCCCUGCUUUUGUGGGGUGCUCGAGUGGCGAACGGGUGAGUAACACGUGAGUAACCUGCCCUUGACUUUGGGAUAACUUCAGGAAACUGGGGCUAAUACCGGAUAGGAGCUCCUGCUGCAUGGUGGGGGUUGGAAAGUUUCGGCGGUUGGGGAUGGUCUCGCGGCUUAUCAGCUUGUUGGUGGGGUUGUGGCUUACCAAGGCUUUGACGGGUAGCCGGCCUGAGAGGGUGACCGGCCACAUUGGGAUUGGGGUGCGACCCAGACUCAUACGGGAGGCAGCAGUGGGGAAUAUAGCGCGAUAGGCGGAGGCCUGAUGCAGGAUCGCCGGGUGGGGGAUGACUGCCUUCGGGUAGGAAACCGCUUGCGCCUGUGACGAAGCGUGAGUGACGGUAAUGGGUAAAGAAGCACCGGCUAACUACGG